rnacentral:rRNA from 1 species
GAUGAACGCUAGCGGCAGGCCUAACACAUGCAAGUCGAGGGGUAGAGUUAGCUUGCUAACUUGAGACCGGCGCACGGGUGCGUAACGCGUAUGCAAUCUACCUUAUACAGAGGGAUAGCCCAGAGAAAUUUGGAUUAAUACCUCAUAGUAUUAUUGAAUGGAAUCAUUUGAUAUUAAAGUUCCAACGGUAUAAGAUGAGCAUGCGUCCCAUUAGUUAGUUGGUAAGGUAACGGCUUACCAAGACAAUGAUGGGUAGGGGUCCUGAGAGGGAGAGCACCCACACUGGUACUGAGACACGGACCAGACUCCUACGGGGGGCAGCAGUGAGGAAUAUUGGUCAAUGGGCGCAAGCCUGAACCAGCCAUGCCGCGUGCAGGAUGACGGUCCUAUGGAUUGUAAACUGCUUUUAUACGGGAAGAAACACUCCUACGUGUAGGAACUUGACGGUACCGUAAGAAUAAGGAUCGGCUAACUCCGUGCCAGCCGCCGCGGUAAAAC